rnacentral:rRNA from 1 species
GUGGGGAAUAUUGCACAAUGGGCGAAAGCCUGAUGCAGCAACGCCGCGUGAGUGAUGAAGGCCUUCGGGUUGUAAAGCUCUGUCUUCUGGGACGAUAAUGACGGUACCAGAGGAGGAAGCCACGGCUAACUACGUGCCAGCAGCCGCGGUAAUACGUAGGUGGCAAGCGUUGUCCGGAUUUACUGGGCGUAAAGGAUGCGUAGGCGGAUACUUAAGUCAGAUGUGAAAAUCCCGGGCUUAACUUGGGAACUGCAUUUGAAACUGGGUAUCUAGAGUGCGGGAGAGGAAAGUGGAAUUCCUAGUGUAGCGGUGAAAUGCGUAGAGAUUAGGAAGAACACCAGUGGCGAAGGCGACUUUCUGGACCGUAACUGACGCUGAGGCAUGAAAGCGUGGGGAGCAAACA